rfam:Chelonia mydas contig156161, whole genome shotgun sequence.
GGUCCCAUGGUGUAACGGUCAGCACUCCGGACUCUGAAUCCUGCAAUCUGAGGUCAAAUCUCAGUGGGACGC